GAAGAGUCUGCUAUAACACUUGCAGCAGCUGCGGAGGCUGUCCACACACAGCAAUGGCAUUUGUCAGGUGGUCCACUCCCUUCUCGUAGUCACCUUGUGCUAAUAACUCUUCACCACGCUGUAUCUUUUCAAGGAAGAAUUUCUGAACUGCUUCAGCAUCUUUUAAAUCAGGAAACAGUAUCUACUUUUAAGAUGACAAGUAGUCUGAUCCUUCAUGGAUGAUGGAGAUUGUUAACUUGACGGGAUGUAGAAUAACGGAAGAGACAAACCUCUGGGUGUCUGGGAGAGAGUUUCCAGUCUGAGCUAAUCGAGGGAGAGACUUAACUGGAAGUUAUAUAACUGCCACGAUACAGAACUUUCCUGAAGCUUUGAGUCAGCAGAGCUGCAGACUCACACACCAGCUAAGAAGAUUUUUUUUUGACACUAGUAGUUUAAUAAGAGAAUCUUUGUAUUUUGGUACUAAUAAAAGCAAAAUGAAAUGU
rnacentral:lncRNA from 1 species